rnacentral:rRNA from 1 species
UACGGAGGGUGCAAGCGUUAUCCGGAUUCACUGGGUUUAAAGGGUGCGUAGGCGGAUAGGUAAGUCCGUGGUGAAAUCCUGCAGCUUAACUGCAGAACUGCCAUGGAUACUAUUUAUCUUGAAUGUCGUGGAGGUUAGCGGAAUAUGUCAUGUAGCGGUGAAAUGCUUAGAUAUGACAUAGAACACCCAUUGCGAAGGCAGCUCGCUGGAACGUAACUGACGCUGAGACGCGAAAGCGUGGGGAGCAAACAGG